rnacentral:lncRNA from 1 species
CACAAAAACGGGUGGGUUAUAGCCUUCGGGGGUGGGGCUGGCAAACUUCGUCCGCCGGACUCGGAAUGCCGCGAGACUUUGCGAGGGGACUCCAUGCGGUAAAAAUAGGCCGAGGGCAAAGCCAUGCCCAAAAAUAACCGCCCGAAGGCCGGGGCACCAACUUCGUCCAGCGGAAAAAGGCCACGAAAACGGGUGGGCUAUAGCCUUGGGGGGUGGGGCUGGCCAACUUCGUCCGCCGGACUCGGAAUGCCGCGAGAAUUUGCGAGGGGACUCCGUGCGUCAAAAAUAGGCCACGGGCAAAGCCAUGCCCAAAAAUAACCACCCGAAGGCCGGGGCGCCAACUUCGUCCAGCGGAAAAAGGCCACGAAAACGGGUGGGCUAUAGCCUUGGGGGGUGGGGCUGGCCAACUUCGUCCGCCGGACUGAGAAUGCCGCGAGACUUUACGAGGCGCCUCCGUAUACAAAAAAUAGUCCGCGGGCACAUCGUCGCCCAAAAAUAACCGCCCGAAGGCCAGGGCGCCAAGUUCAUCCAGCGGAAAAAUCCCACAAAAACGGGUAGGCUAUAGCCUUGGGGGCUGGGGCUGGCCAACUUCGUCCACCGGACUCGGAAUGGCGCGAAACUUUGCGAGGCGCCUCCCUGCACCAAAAAUAGGCUGCGGGCACAGCCGCGCCCCAAAAUAACCCCCCGAAGGCCGGGGCGCCAAGUUCGUCCAGCGGAAAAAGCCCACAAAAACGGGUGGGCUAUAGCCUUGGGGGGUGGGGCUGGCCGACUUCGUCCGCCGGACUCGGAAUAGCGCGAGACUUUGCGAGGCGCCUCCGUGUGCCAAAAAUAGGCCGCGGGCACAGCUGCGCCCAAAAAUAACCACCCAAAAGCCGGGGCGCCAAUUUCGUCCAGCGGAAAAAGCCGACAAAAACGGGUGGGCUAUAGCCUUGGGGGGUGGGGCUGGCCGACUUCGUCCGCCGGACUCGGAAUGGUGCGAGACUUUGCGAGGCACCUCCGUGUGCCAAAAAUAGGCCACGGGCACAGCUGCGCCCAAAAAUAACCACCCGAAGGCCGGGGCGCCAAUUUCGUCCAGCGGAAAAAGCCCACAAAAACGGGUGGGCUAUAGCCUUGGGGGGUGGGGCUGGCCAACUUCUUCCGGCGGACUCGGAAUGGCGCGAGACUUUACGAGGUGCCUCUGUGUGCCAAAAAUAGGCCACGGACGCAGCCGUGCUAAAAAAUAACCGACCGAAGGCCGGGGCGCCAAGUUCGUCCUGCGGAAAAAGCCGACAAAAACGGGUGGGCUAUAGCCUUGGGGGGUGGGGCUGGCCAACUUCGUCCGCC